GUCGAGAAUCUUCCUCAAUGCCCGCAAGGGUGAAGGAGCGACGUCGCGUGAUUGAAGAAGCCCUUCGGGGUGUAAAAAUCUUUUCUCAGGGAAGAACAAAUGACGGUACCUGAGGAAUAAGGGGCGGCAAACUUCGUGCCAGAAGCCUCGGUAAUACGAAGGCCCCGAGCGUUGUCCGGAUUAAUUGGGCGUAAAGCGUCCGCAGGCGGUCCGUAAAGUCAGCAGUGAAAGACCCAAGCUUAACUUGGGGAACGCUGCUGAAACUAACGGGCUAGAGUCCGGGAGAGGCAAGCGGAAUUGCCGGUGUAGCGGUUAAAUGCGUUAAUAUCGGCAGGAACACCAAAUGCGAAGGCAGCUUGCUAGAACGGUACUGACGCUCAUGGACGAAAGCGUGGGGAGCGAAUGGGAUUAGAUACCCCGGUAGUCC
rnacentral:rRNA from 1 species